AUUUAACUUGAUCAGAGCAAUUAUACAUGAGUGGUUUUUAUACCAUUUGGAUAUGGAUGGAAUCAAUUGGAUGAUGGAAACAAAAGGGAUCGGAGAUAAAAAAAAAAAAAAUUGAACCACAAAGCCUCAAGUCAGACUGCAUGUCAAGAUUUUGCUUUAAGCAAUGGAUCGGAGUUGAUUGGUAUCACUACCAGAAAGCAAAGCCAGUGGUGCCUCAGCAAGCAUGUUGUGAAGGUGACAGUGUCAAGAUUUCGCCUGA